AGACUCGCUACUCUCUGGUGAGCAUCAUCAGCCAUUUGGGUCCCACGGCUGACUUCGGCCAUUACAUCUGCGACGGUGUUCACCGCGUGCAAGGCCUGUUCGACAAGACAGACCACUGGCUCACAUACGACGACCAGCACGUUACAGAGACCACUGGCAAAUCCGUCUGUCACCGGCGGCAGCAAACGGCAUGCCUGCUCUUUUACGAGAAAGAUCAAUAGAUGAGGCUCAUCGUUUGGGGGCAGACCUGCUGCACAGAAAGUAGCACAACUCCAGCAGCAACUCCUGCCUGGUUUUUGCACUGUGGCUCAGUGGUGAUCACUGUCACCUCAGCCUGUCAAUGUCCGGGCUGG